AGUUCGAUCAUGGCUUGACUGAGAACGCCGGCGAUGCUUUUAUGGCCAUGCAAGUCGAAUGGCAGCACGACUUCGGUCUGGUGGCGGCGGCGAACGGGGUGAGUAAUGUAUCGAACGCCUAGUGGCGGGGAGUUAAUGACGCAGCGUAGCUAUCAUCGUAGCGACAACACCUUCAGGAGUGGGGAUCCGGGCCCACCAUAGAGCGGCCGAUAUCGGAUUAGCUGUAGUUAGGGUAACGGUCACCGAAGGUGUUAAUGAUCCGUAGCUGGUUUGAGGCAGACGACCAGCCACACUGGACCGAGAUUAUCACCGCUCAGACUCCGGCCAGGAGGCAGCAGUGGUAAUUCUGACAAUAAAACUCCUGAUCCAGCCAUCCCGCGUGCGAUGAAGGCCUUCGGGUUGUAAAGCACUUUUGGCAGAGAGGUGAAACGGUACUGGAUAAUGUACCCCGCAACUGACGGUACCUGCAGAAUAAGCACCGGCUAACUACGUGCCAGCAGCCGCGUAAUACGCAGGGUGCAAGCGUUAAUCGGAAUUACUGGCGCAAGCGUGCGCAGGCGGUUCGAAAGAAAGAUGUGAAAUCCAGAGCUUAACUUUGGAACUGCAUUUAACUACCGAGCUAGAGUGUGUCAGAGGGAGGUGGAAUUCCGCGUGUAGCAGGAAAUGCGUAGGGAUAUGCGGAGGAACACCGAUGGCGAAGGCAGCCUCCUCGGGAUAACACUGACGCUCAUGCACGAAAGCGCGUGGGGAGCAAACAGGAUUAGAUGACUCUGCAGUCCACGCCCUAAACGAUGUCAACUAGCUGUUGGGGCCUUCGCCUUGCAGCGCAGCUAACGCGUGAAGUUGACCGCCUGGGGAGUACGGUCGCAAGAUUAAAACUCAAAGGAAUUGACGGGACCGCUACUGCCGUGACGAUGGGAUUAAUCAGAUGCAACGCGAAAAACCUUACCUACUCCUGACAUGUCUGGAAUCCGAAGAGAUUUGGGAGUGCUCGCAAGAGAACUGAACACAGGUGUCACGGCUGUCGUCAGCUCGUGUCGUGAGAUGUUGGGUUAAGUCCCGGCAACGAGCGCAACCCUUGUCAUUAGUUAAGCACGAAAGCGGGCACUCUAAUGAGACUGCCGGUGACAAACCGAGGGUAUGUGGACGACGCUGCUGUCCUCAUGGCCCUUAUGGGUAGGGUCGAUGACGUCGCGACAAUGGUCGACAGAGGGUCGCUAACCAGGCGAGGGGGAGCCAAUCCCAGAAACCCGAUCGCAGUCCGGAUCGCAGUCUGCAACUCGACCGCGCAAGUCGGAAUCGCUAGUAAUCGCGGAUCAGCAUUGUCAUGGUGAAUACGUUCCCGGUCUUGUACACACCGCCCGUCACACCAUGGGAGUGGGUUUUACCAGAAGUAGUUAGCCUAACCGUAAGAGGGCGAUUACCACGGCAGGAUUCAUGAUCAGUGAAGUUCGUAAUACGUAG
rnacentral:rRNA from 1 species